rnacentral:rRNA from 1 species
AGCAACCUGCCCUAGGCUUUGGGAUAACCCCGGGAAACCGGGGCUAAUACCGAAUAGGACCACCGGUCGCAUGGUUGGUGGUGGAAAGUUUUUCGGCCUGGGAUGGGCUCGCGGCCUAUCAGCUUGUUGGUGGGGUGAUGGCCUACCAAGGCGACGACGGGUAGCCGGCCUGAGAGGGCGACCGGCCACACUGGGACUGAGACACGGCCCAGACUCCUACGGGAGGCAGCAGUGGGGAAUAUUGCACAAUGGGCGGAAGCCUGAUGCAGCGACGCCGCGUGAGGGAUGACGGCCUUCGGGUUGUAAACCUCUUUCAGCAGGGACGAAGCGUAAGUGACGGUACCUGCAGAAGAAGCGCCGGCCAACUACGUGCCAGCAGCCGCGGUAAGACGUAGGGCGCGAGCGUUGUCCGGAUUUAUUGGGCGUAAAGAGCUCGUAGGCGGCUUGUCGCGUCGACUGUGAAAACCCGCAGCUCAACUGCGGGCCUGCAGUCGAUACGGGCAGGCUAGAGUUCGGUAGGGGAGACUGGAAUUCCUGGUGUAGCGGUGAAAUGCGCAGAUAUCAGGAGGAACACCGGUGGCGAAGGCGGGUCUCUGGGCCGAUACUGACGCUGAGGAGCGAAAGCGUGGGGAGCGAACAGGAUUAGAUACCCUGGUAGUCCACGCUGUAA